AUUGAACGCUGGCGGCAUGCCUUACACAUGCAAGUCGAACGGCAGCGGACCUUCGGGUGCCGGCGAGUGGCGAACGGGUGAGUAAUAUAUCGGAACGUACUUUUCAGUGGGGGAGUAACGUAGCGAAAGUUACGCUAAUACCGCAUAUUCUGUGAGCAGGAAAGCAGGGGAUCGCAAGACCUUGCGCUGAUUGAGCGGCCGAUAUCAGAUUAGCUAGUUGGUGAGGUAAAGGCUCACCAAGGCGACGAUCUGUAGCGGGUCUGAGAGGAUGAUCCGCCACACUGGAACUGAGACACGGUCCAGACUCCUACGGGAGGCAGCAGUGGGGAAUUUUGGACAAUGGGCGCAAGCCUGAUCCAGCCAUGCCGCGUGAGUGAAGAAGGCCUGUGUAAG
rnacentral:rRNA from 1 species